AAAAAUAUUUUUUAAAUGUAUUUUAGCAGAACAUACCUGGCCCGCAUUUGAUCCUGAAAAACGUUCUUUUUGGACCAAAUGCUGGCUGGAUUAAUGUGAAAUAAACUGAUGAGUUUAUUUAGCUUAGCUGGUAAAAAAAAGAGUUUUCGUGAAACAAAUUUAAUGAAGACAAUUAUAGAAUGAAGUUCAUUCAUUUGCUGGCAACAUUUUUAAAC
rnacentral:lncRNA from 1 species